rnacentral:rRNA from 1 species
UACGGAGGGUGCGAGCGUUAAUCGGAAUUAUUGGGCGUAAAGGGUGCGUAGGUGGUUAGAUAAGUUAUCUGUGAAAUCCCCGGGCUCAACCUGGGAAGGUCAGAUAAGACUGUUUGACUCGAGUAUAGGAGAGGGUAGUGGAAUUUCCGGUGUAGCGGUGAAAUGCGUAGAGAUCGGAAGGAACACCAGUGGCGAAGGCGGCUACCUGGCCGGAUACUGACACUGAAGCACGAAAGCGUGGGGAGCAAAC